rnacentral:lncRNA from 10 species
GGCAUGGCAGCAGCAUCUGGUGGGGUUCUGUGCUACAUUACCCCAUGGUGGAAGGGCAGAGGGCAGAGGGCAGAAGAGGAAAGGCAGAAGAGAAAGACAGCAUGGGAGACAGCAAGAAAAUGGAGGCCAAAACUUAUCCUUUUAUCAGGAAUCCACUCCCACACAUGUUUGUAAACAAUGCCAUCAGGAAUAAAAGUGUUUGAAGCUGAAGCUGGGUCUUCCAUCCAAAUGUGGAAAGCGUGCCAGAGGACUGUCUUUCCCAUUCCCGCCCCACCUGCACAGCCAUAGACAAAGCUCAGCUCCGGGAUAAGGUAAAUGUCAAGAGCCACACAGCAGCAUGCCUUCCCUUCAAGACAGAACAAAGGGUGGUUUUCUUGGCCAACCUACUGCACAGGAGGAAGCCAAGCAACACCAUUGAUUUAAGCCCCAAGGAAAACCUAAAAUCUUUGGCCACUUCAGGUUGUAAAUCUGGCAUCAGAUGUCAGAAACUUGUGUGAAAACAGAGACUACUAGGUUUUACUAUGGCUUGAAAGGAAUAACCCAAAGAAAAGCCUGACCCCAAAAAAGGACUGUCCCAGGCUCAGGGCCCCACAGCGACCACAUGCCUGGGCAGGGAACUGCCGGGAAGGUAGCCCAGAAUGGUCACAUCUCACUCUGCAGCCCCCUCACCGGACAAGGACACCUCCUGUCAGGUUCCGAGUUCUAGUCAUUCUUCCUUGUCUCUGAGAGCUGUCCAUCUUUUCAUACCAUUUCUAUUGCCACCCGUGGUUCAGCCUGAGGUGCCUCGGAGGACUCACUGGCCAGGCCCCAUGGGCACUCUACACACAUGAUUGAGCAAGACCUCUAAAUGAGACCACAAAGCAGGCCCAUUUCCUUCAGGUGACUGACAUGGGAACUCAGGCUGAGAGCAACUGACCAAGCAGACACAGCUAAAAAGAUGGAGCCAGGAUUCCAGCCAGGAUCUGCCUGACUUUAAGUAAUAUGUGUUUCCCACUAAACCCAUGUCAUGGCUUUCCCCAGCUCUCGAAGCUUUGAUGGCCCCACUGCCUACUGAAUUCAGUCUUAGCUGCCAAUCCAGGGGCCAAGCCCUCCGUGCCCUGCCCUGCCCUACUCUUCAGCCUUGCCCAGCUUUUCCCCUCCAUGAACAUCCUCAAGUCCCCCCCACACUCAAGACUCCCCAGGAGUGUCCCUUUGCUCAUCUGCAAUGUCCUUACUACCAGCCCAUCUGCCCUUUCCAAGUCCUGCUCACUCAUCAAUACUUCUGUGACCCCCUGCCGUGAGAACACAUUCUCUGCUAAACCCCUGCUCUUCCAGCGCACUUUCCUCAGAGUUAUGUACAGAGAGGGUCUCCCCCUGCUAGACUGAGCCACCUCGGAGGAAGAGCCUGUGCCUGGAUUUUCACAUCUUUGUAUGUCCUUCCAUCCUUAGCAAAGGCACCUGGAAUGUAAUCAAAAUCACCAAAUAUGUGUUGGAUAGAUGAAUAGGUGGAUGGAUUAUAAAUAAAUAAAGUAUUUAUCUAGGUUGUUACCUCUCAGGAUGCAAGGAAAUAUAUUUGAUUUAUAGACAUACAGAAGAAGCGACUACAUAUAGUAUAACAAAGCAAUGUUGUGUUUGGAAUAACAGCAACUGAUUAAUAAGUAUCUAUUAUGUUACACUGAUGUCGUAUCUCUACCAUUAGACUAACAAGUCUUUAUGUUUCACGAGGGCAGGAAUAAUGUCUACAGCUGCAGCUGCCAGAUCAAGCUGGAGUCCCUCCCUGAUCUGAUGCCAUAAAGUAGGAGCUCUCAGUCACCAUAGGAGGAAAUCACUACCUCAGGCUGCUCACUAGAACCUCUGGGAAGAAACAGAGCUCCCCACCAUAAGUCACGGCUUUGGGGUCAGAGUCUCUGGAUCCAAGCCUGGUUCUGCUACUUGAGCCUCUCUUGAGUCUCAAUUUCCUCCCUGAAUAUAGGGAUGAUAAUCCCUGUCCCAUGAGUUGCACUGGGGAAUAAAUGUGAUCAUCUAUACAGUGCACUCAACAGCGGGCAUGACCUGUGGGAAGGGUCCCAUUAGUGUCCACAUUGCCAGUUAUGCAGUGAAUAUCAUUCAUGUCUCAGCUUAUGUAUCAACCAACAGCAAUGCAGAGUUAUCCCUCCUGUAGUUAGUUGAAAGUAGCUGGUGCUGACUAUACUUCUAAGUUCUUACCAGUUGUCACUAGACCUUGUCAAAAUGGGAAAAGACAGACUUCUGAUAAACUCACUGUCAACUUAUAGGCAAUUUUAAUAGAAAAAAACAUAAUUCACUGCA